AACGCAGCUAGCUACGAUAAUCGGUGCGAAUUGCAGGACACGCCGAGCACUUGAGCUUCCAACGCACAUUGCGGCUUUCGGGUCUUUUCCGAGGUCACAUCUGUCUGAGAGUUGAGAUGUAAAAUAAUCAACAAAACACUUGCAUACUACCAUAUAUGCAUUGUUUUGAGAGGAUUGUAUAUUUAUAUGCAUGAAUCUUGAUGUUUUAUUCCUUUUCUUAAUUGCAAUUCGUUGCAAUUUAGUAAGGAGAAUCUCAAAUCUACUUGUUUCACAUGAUAAAUUUUGUGUACAAUGCAUAUUUCAUCUCUGCAAGCAGUAUAUAUGAAUAGAUACUAGCAUGAGAUUCUAAGGUUAGUCGCCUAUCUGACGACGCUAAAGUCGUAUUGCAGAUAACUAUGGUGAUCAACUAACCUGUUAACUGAUGAAUCUUCUUGCACUUGUAUAAAUCGUACAAAUAGUAGCUAUUUCAUUCUGUUAAAGCAGACCUAAGAAGUAAUGCAAAGGCAAAAUUUGUGCAAACAUUAAGAGUAGAAUUUACGUUGCUUGCUUGCAAACA
rnacentral:rRNA from 1 species